rnacentral:rRNA from 1 species
UACAGAGGUCUCAAGCGUUGUUCGGAUUCAUUGGGCGUAAAGGGUUCGUAGGCGGUGUGGCAAGUCGGGAGUGAAAUCUCUGGGCUCAACCCAGAGACUGCUUCCGAAACUGCUGUGCUUGAGUGUGGGAGAGGCGCGUGGAAUUGCAGGUGUAGCGGUGAAAUGCGUAGAUAUCUGCAGGAACACCCGUGGCGAAAGCGGCGCGCUGGACCACUACUGACGCUGAGGAACGAAAGCUAGGGGAGCAAACAG